UUCCAUGAAGCAGGUGAUAUUUGACACAGCAUGCUUUGUUUGUAUAUUUCAUAUAAUUUAUAUACCAUGAUUGUUGGGAGAAAAAACCCUCAAAGCAGUUUAUCUGUUUAAUCACAUCCAUUCCUAAGGAUUUUUAAAUGGUGCACAAUCUGCCCUGAAUGUGAGCCCUAGAGCUUUUUAGAAAUGUUGCUCUGAACUUGCUUCUUUCUUGUGGAAAAACCUCCAGCCACUUUGGAUACUUCUGAAAUGCUGCCAGUUAAAGGAAGAGAUACAACAAUAACAUCUUUUGAGUGUGUGGUCAUGUUACGGAUGUCAUCGUAUUUGAAUGCUUGCUAUCCAGAUUUUGUUAUUGCCGGCUUUUGCUCUUGCUUUCAUGCAUAAAAAACUGCUCAUGCAGGAAAGCCCUGAGAUACACAGCAAUAAAUAUUCUUUAUAUGUAUUUAUGUAUUUAGAUUUAAAUUUUGGACAUCCUAAAGGAAUGUUUCAUUUCAUCUAGCAUAAAAUGCACUUUCCAGUUCCAGUUGCUUGAGUACAUUGUUAGCAAAUCUAGAAGCAUCUUGUCCUCAGAAUGCAGCCUGUUCACGUAGAUAACUUAAUGCAGAUACCUUAAUUGACUUAAGAAAAGGCAUCCUUAUUGGAUGCUAGCCUUGAUAAGUGCUGCUUUUCAUUCAUGUCACUUCCCUGUAGGUAUCUGAUGGCAACCACUUCUCAGGCUCUUCUUGGUGGCUGCUGCAUUUAAUGCACUUAGUUUUAAAGCUGCACCCCACUCUGCUCCGUGUCACUUCUUCUCAGCUCUCGCACUCCUGGAGUUGAACAGGAACGCUGAUCCCUGGGCUCAAAAAUCACUAAGCCAUCAGUCCUGAGUGCCGUGGCUGAAUUCAUUAGAGGCAGAACUAAUCACUAUUCCUAUUCCUACUGACUCCAGAAGAGUAGCCUUUCCAAAAGACUUAUUUAGCUAUGUAAAGGUAAACCAUUUGCUUCCAUUCUCUUUCCUGAGCAAACAUACCUGCCAAAUCCAAUAAAAGGAUAUUUGGCACUUUCCCAAUCUUUUGUCCUCCAUGCUUUAGAAAGUAUUAAAGUCAAACUAAGAAACCUAGGAAAGAGAUAGAGAGAUGUCCCUGUUCACACAGAUGCGCAUGCAAGCAUGUGUCUCCAUGUGGGCAUAAUAUUUUGAGGGAGGGGCAGAGUUACAUGUGACAAAAUGUGAUCACGUUUGAGGCUAUGCCUGUGGAGGAAGGGGGCUGGGUGUGCUACACAACCACAGGCUGGAUGGGACCAACAACAAGAGCCGUGAGCCAAUGCAAAUGCGCAUUGUAAGCCCUCAGUGUACUUGGCAAGUGAGCGCCAGGUGCAAAAUAGACGAGUGCCAAUGAAGUUCUGUAUGCAAAAUGGAGGCAAACAGCUGUUGGUUUGUUUAUAAGUGGGGGUGGUGCUCCUGGAAGAAAACACUUUUCUCUCCAGGUCUUAUUGAUGGCCAAAUACAGUGGUGCGCAUGUGUUGGCAGUUAGCAAAUAGAUUAGGUGUAAAAUAAGACAUUAGCAUGCCUCCAAACUCUUCUUCCUUCCCUGAACAAUGGGGGCAAGUCUGUCUUCUAUUAACGAGGAUAGCUGUUGUCUGCCAAUGCUUGAUUCUUCUGACAUGCUUGCAAAUACUUUGCACAGUCACCUAUAGAUCAAACCUCAAUGAGCCAAGGUGUCAAGGGGCAUGGCUGCUUCGCCAUAAGGUCCCAGGGAGGGUUACACCAUUAAAGCAACAUUAAAAACAAUUUAAAACAAUCAGUAAAGUGAGAAUCAAUGCUCAGAGGCUUUAGGACUGUAUAACUUGGGGUAAUUCCAGCUGUCAAUUUUCUCCCCUGAUCGUCUUGCUUUGUAGUCGGCCCCAGAUGCUACCUGUGCCAUUCCCAGUUAUUCCAUUUACUGGAAAGAUCAGUAUAGGAGUAGCAACAACAACAUUAUUGAAAACCAGUAAUGGUAGAUCUAAACCCAAUAAGAGCAGGAAACAAUUCCGGUUUCUGUCCCAUGUUUGCUGUUGCUGUCUCUGGGUAGCCAACCAAAAGUUCUAUCUCCCAGCUUUUCAGGGCUUACUGUGGGCAACUGCUUUCUUUUUAUUGUCAUCUGUUAUCUUGUUAGGCAGUGGGCAAAACUGUCAGCAUCUCAUAGUGCUCUUCUAGGGCUUGUUGCUGCUAUAGAUUAAACUUUCGGAGAGUCCCCAACGUGGCCUCCAUCUGUCAUGUAGUUAUGAAAAUGACAGCUCUCUUUGUCCAACUCUCUUGUGACUUCAACCUCCCAUCGUAUUUUAUAUCAUGGAUAUAAGACACUUUGGUUUUCAAUAACAAAAUGUGCUCUAUUCAUCUUGGAACAAGGCUACACCAUAGGUACAGAAUUGUAAUUGUCAGGACUAGGCCAUGAGCAGACGUCUGAGGUGAGCCAAGAGACAGAAGCUGAGGAAGAAACCAGAAGUCAGAACCGAAGGACAAGUCAGCACCAAAGAAAUCCUGCAGCCAUGGGAGCCAACUCCUUUGCGCCUGCAUCGCAUCAUGUGACCGAUUAUGUGUGGGGUAGGGCUUACCUGCCCCUCCCAUAUUUUAUUCAAGUUUACACCCCUGCCUGGAGGCUAGAUUGAAGAAUAAGCUAGAAGUCAGGUCAGGAUUGAAGCACAACCAGGAUACAGGAACUCACCAGACCUCAGGAAGACCUUGUUGUGCAAGCAAGGCUUAGCUGGGAAAGAAAACCUUUUAUACUCCUUUCUACUCAGGAAUUUCCAGAUGUCCAGAAGGUUCGUGACAUGGGGAAGCUGCACACAGACUCCAGCAGCUGCUGCCCCUGAGCCACACUUGCAGGAUGCCACGGCCCAUCACACGCAGAAGCAGGGGAGCAGCAUCAUAUGAGGCUGCAUUAUGGAUGUGGACACUGGAACCAUAUACAUGGGGUCAGUUGCAUGGGUUGCUCCCACCCAGUCUUUGGCUACCUGGGACAGGGAUGAUUAGGUGGGAAAGAUCCACACACUAGGAUCUGACCAUGUGCUUUUAAGAUUUACAUGCAUUCUGUAAUCCCAUGGAAUUACCCCAUGGGCAAACAACUCCCAUGCUACUGUGGAACAGAAACAGGCUAAACAAAAGCAAUAUAUUGUUUGAUUAUACCAUUUCAACAUUAUCACUGGGACAGCUGGCAUCUGUAUGUUGCAUGCAUGCAACAGUGUCGGUCUGUGCACAAAGCAUUUAUGAUUCCAGAAAUUCUAGAAGGACUUCUAGAAUGAGAACAAAGCUGAAUCUGGAAUGAGGAAGAUCUGACCAUACAUACAGAGAGAGACAGCACUGGCAGGUGGAAGGAUCUGUGUGUGAAUGCCUGUACCCAGGCAUAGGAAUAUACAGGACCAGAUGGCAGAGAGUGAUCACAUGGGAAGUAGAGAUGAAGAGAGGGAAUGGAAAGUAGCUUAUCAGCAUGUAAUAACCAACCUGCUGAACUUUGAAUGACCGUGCAAAUCAGCAUGCCAGGAUGGAGAAAUGGCAACAGGGAUUUCAUUUGUAAUUAGAAAGGAAGUGUAUUUGUUUGGUGUUAUAAAGGCUUAAAAAUCUAAUUUCAUGCUUUUAGCCAUUUGGCUCUUGAGCACAGGUUGCAGCAGUAGAAGAAGCCUCACACAGUCCAUCUGGACAGCCAGUCUCUAUGCCAGAAGUGGAUCGGCUCCCUUUGAUGUAAAACUGCAUCAUUAUUCUGGGACUUGAUCCCAGCCCAAAUCAACUCCCCGCUCCAACUUCCUUGAUUUCAGCUUCAGGGUUAAUUCAUAUGAACAUCACAGUAUGCAGAGACUGCUUGGUAUUGCUGUGUACAUUGGCUCUCUGUACAUAGUAAGUCAUUUGAGUGCAGGCUCGGGCUACUGUACAUAGAUCGUGGUUUUAGUAGACGCUGCUGAACCGUAUUUUGUGGUUUACAAUGUGUGCAAAAAGGCAUACUUCUUUGUGCGGAGGACCUGAAAAUGACCAACUUAGCUUGGAGAAGAGCCAACGCUGAACCAUAUUUAUGGACCGAACUGUGUGGAAAAGGCAUAGUCCUUUGUGUGGUGCUGCUUGAAUAUAGCCAGCUUAGCUCGGAAAAGAGCCAAGGCAUGCAGCAAUUUGGCGCACAUUUCCAGAGGGCUCUUUUAUACAAUCCUCCUUGACAGUUCUUGCUUUGUAUAGCUUCCUUCACACUCAGCAGUUUUCCUCUGACGUGUAUGUUUUAUUAGAUAAUGUCAAGGGCCCUGUUUCUAGGUGGUUUGACAAUGAUUCGAUAUUCUACCAUAACCUGGGUACUCAGUCGUGCCACUCUGCCUGCUUGCUACUCUCGCUAUCACUUUGAGUAAGCAAGCAAUUGGUGAACUUAACCUUGGCUAGAUUGGGAAUUGACUUUGCAUUUACAACUGUUGUCAGCAAAUGUUCAAAAGCUUCUCUGUCUUUGUUUUCUUUUUAUAAGAUAUUUAUUAAGGUUUUCAAAAUAUUAC